AGGACGAACGCUGGCGGCGUGCUUAACACAUGCAAGUCGAGCGGAAAGGCCCUUCGGGGUACUCGAGCGGCGAAUGGGUGAGUAACACGUGAGUAACCUGCCCCUAGCUCUGGGAUAGCUCCGGGAAACCGGGAUUAAUACCAGAUACGACCACUUUAGACAUCUGUCGUGGUGGAAAGGAUUCCGGCUAGGGAUGGGCUCGCGGCCUAUCAGCUUGUUGGUGGGGUAACGGCCUACCAAGGCGACGACGGGUAGCCGGCCUGAGAGGGCGACCGGCCACACUGGGACUGAGACACGGCCCAGACUCCUACGGGAGGCAGCAGUGGGGAAUAUUGCGCAAUGGGCGAAAGCCUGACGCAGCGACGCCGCGUGGGGGAUGAAGGCCUUCGGGUUGUAAACCCCUUUCAGCAGGGACGAAGCGAAAGUGACGGUACCUGCAGAAGAAGCGCCGGCUAACUACGUGCCGAGCAGCCGC
rnacentral:rRNA from 1 species